rnacentral:rRNA from 1 species
ACAUCCAGAGAACUUAGCAGAGAUGCUUUGGUGCCUUCGGGAACUCUGAGACAGGUGCUGCAUGGCUGUCGUCAGCUCGUGUUGUGAAAUGUUGGGUUAAGUCCCGCAACGAGCGCAACCCUUAUCCUUUGUUGCCAGCGAUUCGGUCGGGAACUCAAAGGAGACUGCCGGUGAUAAACCGGAGGAAGGUGGGGAUGACGUCAAGUCAUCAUGGCCCUUACGAGUAGGGCUACACACGUGCUACAAUGGCGCAUACAAAGAGAAGCGACCUCGCGAGAGCAAGCGGACCUCAUAAAGUGCGUCGUAGUCCGGAUCGGAGUCUGCAACUCGACUCCGUGAAGUCGGAAUCGCUAGUAAUCGUGGAUCAGAAUGCCACGGUGAAUACGUUCCCGGGCCUUGUACACACCGCCCGUCACACCAUGGGAGUGGGUUGCAAAAGAAGUAGGUAGCUUAACCUUCGGGAGGGCGCUUACCACUUUGUGAUUCAUGACUGGGGUGAAGUCGUAACAAGGUAGGCGUAGAUGA